rnacentral:sRNA from 1 species
GCUGGUCCUCAAAGAGAUCUACCAAACCCAGGGUAUCUUCCUUGAUCAGCCUUUACAGUAAAAAUGACCCAUCUAUGGCUGCUUAAUGAGUCUCUUCCUCAAAUGUGUUCAGUCUGAGCUAUCUACUGUGAACACUCUCCCAUUUGCAGAACUUCACCUUUAAUCCACGCUAAAGAGGAUAAGAGACUAGGCUAUUUAUUUUCAAAACAGUUUACAAAACAAUGCUUUCUACUUCAUAAAUGUAAAAAGAAACUGUAAAAUAAGGAGAAUCUGAAGAGUUUCAAGUACUUAAAAAACCUGAAUUCAAUGAGGCAGAGGUCUCAAUGUUAAAGUGACUACUUCGUACCUGUGGUAAAC